GGGCGUAAGAGCUCGUAGGCGGUUUGUCGCGUCUGCUGUGAAAUCCCUAGGCUCAACCUCGGGCCUGCAGUGGGUACGGGCAGACUAGAGUGCGGUAGGGGAGAUUGGAAUUCCUGGUGUAGCGGUGGAAUGCGCAGAUAUCAGGAGGAACACCGAUGGCGAAGGCAGAUCUCUGGGCCGUAACUGACGCUGAGGAGCGAAAGGGUGGGGAGCAAACAGGCUUAGAUACCCUGGUAGUCCACCCCGUAAACGUUGGGAACUAGUUGUGGGGUCCAUUCCACGGAUUCCGUGACGCAGCUAACGCAUUAAGUUCCCCGCCUGGGGAGUACGGCCGCAAGGCUAAAACUCAAAGGAAUUGACGGGGACCCGCACAAGCGGCGGAGCAUGCGGAUUAAUUCGAUGCAACGCGAAGAACCUUACCAAGGCUUGACAUAUACGAGAACGGGCCAGAAAUGGUCAACUCUUUGGACACUCGUAAACAGGUGGUGCAUGGUUGUCGUCAGCUCGUGUCGUGAGAUGUUGGGUUAAGUCCCGCAACGAGCGCAACCCUCGUUCUAUGUUGCCAGCACGUAAUGGUGGGAACUCAUGGGAUACUGCCGGGGUCAACUCGGAGGAAGGUGGGGAUGACGUCAAAUCAUCAUGCCCCUUAUGUCUUGGGCUUCACGCAUGCUACAAUGGCCGGUACAAAGGGCUGCAAUACCGUGAGGUGUAGCGAAUCCCAAAAGCCGGUCCCAAUUCGGAUUGAAGUCUGCAACUCGACCUCAUGAAGUCGGAGUCGCUAGUAAU
rnacentral:rRNA from 1 species